UUCAGACAUCCGAACGCAGUGUAAAUUCUCCCCCGAUCUAGCGAGUUGCUUACACGCCUCCUCCCUCCCUGCCGGCGCGCCGCCUCCUCCCUUCCCUCUGGCCUGCCGCCUCCUUCCUCCCCUGCCCGCUCGCCGCCGCCGAUGGCCCGCCCCAACCAAUCACUGCCGCCCGCCGCGCCCGCCGCCCCCAACCACCGGUCGCCAUGCAACUCUCUCCUCCAGUCGCCGUGCGCCUCCCAACCCCGGUCGUCGCGCGCCUCCUACCCCGGCCGUCGCGCGCCUCCGACCCCACCCGUCGCUCGCCUCCGGCCACUGGCCGCCGCACGCCUCCCUCCACCCGGCUCCCUGUGCUGCUAUGGAGUCCGUCCUGGCUGAUCUGCUCUGGCCGUUCAACUUUGUGUCUUCCGACCGCUUGGCCGGCGGAGCUUGACGAAGAGCACCCCGGUCUCGCUUGUGUGUGGAGUUCUGAGCAUCUUCUACUGCUGUGUUCUGCUCUCGUCUAUUUUCAACUGAAUGCGCUGCCAUGUGUGGAUUUACUCUCGACUCGCCGGGGUGGAGCUCCUCUGCCUCUAGCUGUCGAUCCAUAGUUCAUUGUCAGUACAGGCUCCGUAGCUGCCCAGUACAUGUUGGGGGACAUUUCUGGAAUCACGUAUCCUUCUUGCAGCUGUAAUUUUGAUUGCAUAGCAGUGAAGUUUUGAUUCACAGCAGUACAAUUUAGUCCCAGCUGCCAUGAUUCUGCAAACCAUUGUGCUACCAAAAAGAUGGUUCUUUGUUGCAACAAAUUGUGGGGAAAUGCAGUGAAAUAGGGCCAGUACAAGCAGACGGUGCUUUGUUCUGUAGGCUGCCACUCUUCUGCCUGUCUGGUAACAGCGGCGAGAGACGAACACCAUGCGCACACCCAUGUGACAUGAAGUGGAGGCAUCACUAUGGCCGCGUACAGAGUGUUGGGACUGCAACAAUUCCCAAGGUCCAAAGCGUACAGGAUGUGCUUGUGAGCUGUGAUGUUCUGAACUUGUGAUAUAUCUGCGGCGGUGAGAGGCAGACCCGUUCAUGUUACUCCAUCUCCCAAGCUAAGUUUUCUGCUGUUUUUGAUGUUAUUCCUAAAAGAAAAUCAUUUAUACAUGGCCAAUGUGAAUGUGCAGUCUGGUGUACUGCAAAAGAACAGUCAUGUGUGUGGUUAAUUAGCUGAGCAUGCAGGGCUUGUUUGAGCUUUAGGUGGAGAACUAGUUGGAUACUACGGUUUUUGGAAAAUCAAGUUCUUUCUUUACAUGAUUUACAAACUCACAUUGCAUUCUCCUGUUGCUUUACUCUUCCAUCUCAUAUUGCUUCAUUCUAUAAGAUUGAGUUAUCUAAAAGAGUUUUUGUUCCUGCUAUCUACAAAGAUACAUUCUUUUAACUGAAAAAUGAUGUAUCUGGCGGCCACCACUCCUUGGAACUUUUCUUCCAUCUGCUUCUACGCAGACCAUGGUGCUUCACUUUGUUCUUAUCUUUUUUAUUUUGUGCAGCCAGUCAGUGCUUCUUCUUGAUCUCCCGACCACCAGUGCCGCUUCUUUCGGGCCUUCUGCUCAUGGCGCUCGAGCUGUCUGUACAUUUUUUCCUCAGUUCUAAAUUCUAGAGCGUCAGUCCAACUACAUAUCAGGAUCCCCUACCUCCAUGUCCACAUUCAGAUGUGCUGCAAGUUCAAUUGUUUCAGUUCGAGCAGGUGCACAAAACACAAUGUUCUAGUCCGUACCGUCCACAUGUGCUGCAAGUUCAAUUGUUUCAGUUUGAACAUUUGCUUCCCUAGUCAUUUGUUUGUUGCUAAAAUGUUGGAGUCAUACUUCUCAUUCUUGCAUGAAUUUUUAUAUACCAUCGUGUUUAUUUCUAAAUGCCAGUCAUUUUUGUUGUUGUCAGGUGUUUGCUUAAAUACCUAGACAAAGAUCUAUUUUAUUUCAGUUCAAAUUCUAGUUUUAGUUCAGUGCAAAUCUUAUUUUAAGUUCAGUACAAUUUCUUAUUUUAGUGUGAGCAAUCCUUCAAAUUUCUUGCCUUAUAUUACUGCUCAUCCAUCAUAUCUUUGUGUACUCUUUCUUGAUGUCAGUACACAGAACAAAAAAAAUUACAUCAAAUUGACAAUGUUUAAUCUCUUCUAUGUCAGCAUAGGCUACAUGUAUACAACAUUUAAUCUCUAGUAGUAGUAGUAGUUUUUCUAUGUAAAGGAGCAGCGGAACUCCAGUAAUUUGUGAGAAUAUCACUUUGGAUACAUGAGUGCAGGAUUAAUACAUUGUUAACUAUUGCAGGUAGGUCAGACCUUAGAAGCCACUUGCAGCCGCACUUGCCGGCACCCGCGACACGCCACCCCACCGCCCCCAAGGCAUGCCGUCCCACGUCCCACAGUCCGCUGGGCGCGGCGUCCUCCCGAAAUAAAAUGAAUGGUCAAUUUGAAUUUAAAACCAUGAUUAGUUUGAAUUAAAAAAAUGAAUUAUCAUUUUAAAUUAGACAGAAUAAUCAGUUUGGAUAAAAAUUUGUUUUGGAUUAAAAAAAUAAUCAGUUCAAAUUAAAAACAAUGACCGGUUCGAAUUAAAAAACAUUUUGAAUUUAAAACAAUGAUAUGUUCAAAUUAAAAACAAGAAAACUGGUUUCAAAAAAUAGAAACAUAGAAGUCUGAAUUAAAAAAUGAUCAGUUUAGUGUUUUGGAAAAGAUUUUAAUGCAAAAUCUAGUAAGUUCAAAAUAAAAAAAGAUCCCAUUUGAAGCAUUUCAAAAGUUUGAAAAAAGAUUUUUGCUCAAUUCCAACAAACGUUCAAUCUCUUUAGGUGGAGCAGUUCGGAGGGUCAGAAAAAAUGGUGUUAAAAAAUUUAACUUCACGAAAAAAUUAUUGUUUAACUUCACAAUGAGCUGCCAGAUUAUAUUUGAAAAAAAACACAAAAAAGUAUAGUGCAUCUUUCCCCUCCAAUAUGUAUAGUGUGUUGUAGUCAGUAUGCUGAAGAUGAAGUUUCUUGUCAAACUUUUCCAGUUAAUAUGACGAGUUAGUAUUGUGGUACUCCGUUGCAAGAAAUACCAUGCCAAAUGUAUGCAAGUAUAGAAGUUGCACACAAACAGAAGUUUGUUUUAGUGAGAAAAAUGCAUACUGUCUUCUAUAACUCAUUUCACUUCAUGGUUUCUUCACCUGUUUGUUGUUUCCUAUUUAUCCUAAUUCCUAAAUGGUCUACUCAACUUCAGCGCCAUGCUCAGUCCAAACCUGUGGCUUCAGGGUGGCCGAGUUCAUCGCGACCAUCAGUUUGGAGACGUGCCUCACUCGCCGUGUCAUUUUUCUGGCCGGACCCCAUGGCUUCAUGGUGAACACAGUCCAACCCCGGAGCACAACCAGAGCUUAUGUCAGUAUGAACUUUGAUUGUGAUGGUACUACAAACUACUGGUACUCACCUUUUAUACAAUUCACAUGGGUUGUGCCCCUAUUACCAACUGCGGUACAAAAAUGCACUGUGUUCACCAUUUUAUUUUAGUUUGUCAGUUUAUAGUACUUUAAAGAGAGGAGGUAAAAGUGAACCAUUCGGUUUUGUAUUAUAAAAAGUGUUAAUGUGAGAAACUUGAAAAACAUCUUGUUUAAUAAGUUCUACUUGUUCUGUGUUUAGUAUUUAUUGAGCUAAAAAUGGUAUGGUUCA